GGACGAACGCUGGCGGCGUGCCUAAUACAUGCAAGUCGAGCGGACGAAUCGAAAGCUUGCUUUUGAUCGUUAGCGGCGGACGGGUGAGUAACACGUGGGCAACCUGCCCUGUAGACGGGGAUAACACCGAGAAAUCGGUGCUAAUACCGGAUAACACGAAAUGUCGCAUGACGUUUCGUUGAAAGACGGCGCAAGCUGUCGCUACAGGAUGGGCCCGCGGCGCAUUAGCUAGUUGGUGAGGUAACGGCUCACCAAGGCGACGAUGCGUAGCCGACCUGAGAGGGUGAUCGGCCACACUGGGACUGGGACACGGCCCAGACUCCUACGGGAGGCAGCAGUAGGGAAUCUUCCGCAAUGGACGAAAGUCUGACGGAGCAACGCCGCGUGAGCGAAGAAGGCCUUCGGGUCGUAAAGCUCUGUUGUUAGGGAAGAACAAGUAACGCAGUAACUGGCGUUACCGUGACGGUACCUAACGAGAAAGCCACGGCUAACUACGUG
rnacentral:rRNA from 1 species